UCUGGGACUGAAGAGGAGGGAGGUCUUUUGCUGACCACCUGUCGGGUGUAAACAGAUAUCCCAUCAUCCCACAGCAUCAUGUCGUCGGAGAGCACCUUGGAUGAUGAGCAUACCUUCAAGAUCCUGAUCGCCACAGAUAUUCACCUUGGUUACCUCGAGAAGGAUGCUAUCCGUGGCAAUGACACUUAUAACACACUGGAUGAGAUCCUGAAAUGUGCCAAGACAAAUCAGGUUGACUUCAUCCUGCUGGGUGGUGAUUUGUUCCAUGAGAACAAGCCAUCACGACGAUGCCUCCACAACUGCAUCACUAUGCUAAGAAAAUACUGCAUGGGAGACACGCCCAUACACUUCAACAUUCUCAGUGACCAGACGAUCAACUUCAACACAACCCAGUUCCCCUGGGUAAACUAUCAGGAUGAAAACCUGAACAUCUCUAUUCCUGCAUUCAGCAUUCACGGUAACCAUGAUGACCCAACUGGGGCUGAAGGUUUGUGUGCGUUGGACCUGCUAAGUGCUUCUGGUCUUGUCAAUCACUUUGGUCAUUCCCAGUCAGUGGAGCGGAUAGAGAUUAGUCCCAUCCUCAUGCAGAAAGGCAGCACCAAGCUAGCCUUGUAUGGUCUUGGCUCCAUCCCAGAUGAGCGCUUGUACAGGAUGUUUGUCAACAACCAGGUAACGAUGCUUCGCCCCAAAGAAGACCAAGAUGAAUGGUUUAACCUCUUCACCAUCCACCAGAACAGGAGCAAGCACGGACCCACUAACUACAUUCCUGAGCAGUUUCUGGAUGAAUUUCUUGACUUGGUCGUGUGGGGUCACGAGCAUGAGUGCUUGAUAACACCGACCAGAAAUGAACAGCAGCUCUUCUACGUGACACAGCCUGGCAGCUCUGUAGCCACCUCCCUGUCCCCUGGAGAGGCAGCAAAGAAGCACAUAGGGCUGCUGAGGGUGAAGGGUCGUAAGAUGAACCUGCAAAAGAUCCCCCUUAAGACGGCGCGUCAGUUCUUCAUUCAGGAUGUAGUGCUGGCUGACUACCAAGACCUCUUCACACCUGAUACACCCCAGGUCACUAAGAAGGUGGAGAGCUUGUGUUAUGCAAAGGUCACAGAGAUGUUAGAAGAAGCUGAAAGAGAAAGACUCGGCUGUCCUCUCACUCCAGAGAAACCUCUUAUUCGCCUCAGGGUGGACUACAGUGGAGGCUUUGAGACGUUCAACACUUCUCGCUUCAGUCAGAAGUUUGUGGACCGCAUAGCCAACCCAAAAGACCUCAUUCACUUUCUUAGACACCGAGAGCAAAAGGAGGAUAUCAAAGAUGAUGUCAAUGUUGACUACAGCAAACUGUUAAAAACCACAGCAGUUGAGGGUUUGAGAGUGGAGGACCUGGUCAAACAGUACUUUGAGGCAGCCGAACAGACAGUGCAGCUGUCCCUUCUGACGGAGCAGGGCAUGGGGAAGGCUAUUCAGGAGUUUGUGGACAAAGAUGAGAAAGACGCCAUCGAGGAGCUGAUCACUUACCAGUUAGAGAAGACACAGCGCCACCUCCAGGCCAGAGGAGUAAUUACAGAGCAGGAUAUAGACACAGAGAUCCGGCUAUACAGAGACUCCAAAAAGAACACAACUGAGGAAGAAAAUGAAAUCAGAGAAGCUUUCAACAGAGCCAAAGCUCACCGUGAGCCUGCAGACCUGGAUAUAUUUGAUGAGCUUGCUGAUGAUGCUAUGGACUCUGAUGAAGGCUCAGUCCCAUUCUCUCCCCCUGUGCGAGGCAGAGGGCGAGCCAGCAGGGCGCGGGGUGGCCGGGGAAGGGGGAAAGGUGCAACUGCCUCUGAACCAAAGCCAACCGGCCGGGGCCGUUCCCAGAAGCCCUCAGCAACAACCCAAAGCAGAAGCAUUAUGCAAGCAUUUCAAGCUACAUCCCAGAGAUCAUCUCGGUCUGGAGCCGCCACAUCUUACAAAGCAGAAGAAGUGACCAUUGAUGACUCAGAUGAAGAUAUACCUGUAAUGAAAGCUACCCGACCUCCUCCAAAACCAACAUCGUCAUCAUCCUUCACGAAGUACAGCUCACAGAAUCAGAGCCAGUCAUCUAGAGGAGUCGCAUUUGAUGACAGUGAUGAAGAUGAGGGAGCAGCUUAAACUCAACGGCAGUUGGGAUUGCUGUGGGCUUUGGGAUCCUGGCGAUUCUCUUCACUAUUGCCAUUGUACAAUUCUGCUGCAAGCACAAAUGCAAAAAGUGCUGCAAGAAAAAAAAGCCGUCAUUGAAAGAUAAAGUGCUCACCAAAGUCAGCUUAAAGAAGUCUCCUCCUCCUUUCUCCAUCAGCAGCUACACGAAAUGACAGCUGACUAGGUGGCAGUUGAUUCUGGCAAUCACCUUGGAAGGCACACCCCUCGUCUGCCACUUUCCUACGCAUUAUCUUGUUUUUAGUUUGUAUGUUAUCUGGUCCUGUUUUUAUUUUGCUGUUAUAAUUCAUGUUACUGUUUUAACCUGAAUACUGAGAAGGGAAGUCAAUGUUAUGAUAUGGUGUUUUUUUGUUUUGUUUUUACAUUACUUUUAACGUUUUUGUGUGAUGUCAUGCUUUUGAACCAUAUCACUGUCUCUUGGCCAUCUUUUUAAUUGUGUCUUGAGUUGCCCACUUUGUCUUGAAACGGAUAGAGAGGCAUUACAUGCUACUGUGUAUGCAAAGUUGUACAUGUUAAUAUUAUUGUAAAAUUAUGAACUAAAAAUAAUGUGGUAUAUACAUUUAGAAAUACUGUGUUCUUCCUUGCAAUUUCACUUUUGUCUGUUUUUGAGUGUGAAUUUGAGUGUGCAGACACACACCCACACCACAGGGAAAUGAAUGUGUUCUGCUGCUGGUGAGAACGUUUGAGGCGAAGGCAGAAUAUCAGCAGCUCAACCACAGCAACCAGGCAGAUCAGUUUUCUUGUAAGCUGCAGGUGACUUCCCUCCAAAGUCACAUAUCUACUACCUUUUUGAUACUUUCUAUGGUUGGUGGAACCGAUGUCUCAUAGUUUUUCCUUUAAUGAAACCAAAACAUGUCUCUGUGUAUGAUGUUUUUUUUCUGAAAUUAACUGCCUACAAUAAGGUGAAUAAAGGUCAACUUAGGUCAUA